UUUAUUGACUAUCUACCAAACUGGACUUGCCCAGCAUUUCAGUAGACAGUCAGCUAAAUAUUGAACAAAGUAAAUGCAUCGAAUAAUACGUACUAAGCAAAAUUACACGAGUAAAAAAUGCAAUGAAUAUCAAAGAAAUGGUCAUGCAGUGUUCCUAUAAAAAAGAGAGUGAUUCUAGAGAGUCUACAGAAUCCCAACUUUGCAAUCCUAUAUAUCUAACACCUGCCCGACUACCUCUAGAAUCAUGGUGUAAUCCGUAUACGUCAUGGUCCACUGAAAAAAAAUGGUUAGUGAUGUUAGUUCAGUGUUUCAUGUUAGUUAGUUAAUGAGGUCCGAGAUAGAGACGCCACGACAUCGAUGCACAAGAAAAUCAACAAAAAAUCGUUUGAUCGAUGCCAUCGAAGGGCAAAAAUCGAUUUGGAUGGGACAUACCGGGUGUAGGAGGAGUGCUACCUCUCGAAGCAUCGUUACCCGUUGCGCCAAUGUUCGAACUGGAACUAGUUUUGCUCGAGUAGAGUUUGGUGGUUCUUGUUUGGACUUGCUGUUGCCUGAGAUUCUCAAGUUUCACCGGCGAUGGAAUGAAACCAAUGUCACAGCCUUCUUUCACCAGACGCCCGAUCCACCAAUUGUUAUCGUACUUUUCCUAAAACAAAAAUCAAAUCGAUGUUAGUGAAAACUCUAUUUUUUUUCCGAGAAAAAUCGAGCAGGCUUUUUUUAAUCAAUGCGGAAGUUUACAAUUUAAAACUGAGAAGAAUAGCGCGUGCCUUGAAUUUGUAAUGCAUCUUUCUAGUGAAGGUUUUGUGAAUUGAACCAAAAAUCUAUAAAAUUUAUAGUUUGAAUUUGAUAGGCCUUAAGUAUUGUUCAAAUAUUUAUUAUGCGACCAAUUGGGAUCAUUUAGUCAUUCACAUGUAAACCCUCUUUAUUUUCAAUAACAAAAUUUCUGGGAAAUAAAGGUAUUCUUUU